GACGAACCGUCCUAACGUUAUUCGGAAUCACUGGGCUUAAAGGGCGCGUAGGCGGAUGAGCAAGUCCGGAGUGAAAUCCUUCGGCUUAACCGGAGAAGUGCUUUGGAUACUGCUUGUCUUGAGGGAGGUAGGGGCAUGUGGAAUUCCUGGUGUAGCGGUGAAAUGCGCAGAUAUCAGGGGGAACACCAAUGGCGAAGGCAGCUCGCUGGAACGGUACUGACGCUGAGGCGCGAAAGCGUGGGGAGCGAACAGG
rnacentral:rRNA from 1 species